GUGAUGAAGAGCUUGAUCCUGGCUCAGAAUGAACGUUGGCGGCGUGCCUAACACAUGCAAGUCGAGCGUGAAAGUCCUUCGGGAUGAGUAAAGCGGCGGACGGGUGAGUAACGCGUGAGAAUUUUCCUUUCAGUGAAGAAUACCUUUGGGAAACUAAAGUUAAUACUGCAUACGUCUCGAAAGAGAGAAAGAUGGCCUCUUUGCUGUCGCUGAAAGAU
rnacentral:rRNA from 1 species